GAAUGGGAUAAGAGAUCUCCAGGCUGUUCUGCAGGACUUGGACGAUCAGAGCAAGUUGUGAUCCCAAAAUGUAAGGACUUAACUUUUCCCUUGUAGGGGAAAAACCCUUUCUGUGUGAGGCACAGGGAUGUGGUCGCUCCUUUGCCGAAUACUCCAGCCUUCGGAAACAUUUGGUUGUCCACUCAGGACUGAAGCCCCACCAGUGCCAAAUUUGUGGGAAGACAUUUUCCCAGAGUGGUAGCAGAAACGUGCAUAUGAGGAAACAUCACUCCCGAAUUGGAACAUCUGGCAGCAGAGAGCGAGAACAGCCAGAGUCACUGAUGGGCAGCAGUUUGCUGGAAGAAUCUACAGUGCAUAGUAAGAAUCUCAUCUCCAUGAACUCUCAGCCCAGCCUUGGUGUCGAGUCCCUGCACCUGCCAGACACCGAGUCCAUCAUCGGAGUAGAGGAGGGUGAGACCAGCUGCUCCUUUUUCCGCCCUCUGAUCUGCGGUGACUGAAGGGGGAUCCAUCGUUUCUCCUAGAGGCUCACCAUGUUGCAGUGGGAUGAGUGAACAUUGCUUUAACUGUGCACAGAGCAGGUGGGUAGAUGGAGAAUGGGGCCAACUGGAGUUGGAGAAGACCUACUGGACCAAGUUUCUCUCUUGCAGAGCUUAAAAGGUGAAGUCUGCUGCUUAGGUGUCAUUUAGCCCAUGUCGUGGAAUGCCAUUUCAAAACUGUUUAUACAGCCCAUUCUCCUAAAGCCUAAAGCACUUGUUUUGCUGGAGCACCCGGGGGCCCCAGCUGAGGAGCAGGACCUCAUGGUGCUAGGCACUGUACAAACAUUCGGCAUCUCAAGCAACAGGCCCUCCUCCACCCUUUACCUUCAGAGACUAUAUUCUAAUACAUCUCACUGUCAGAAGCUGACUUACUAUCUGAAAUAAAUGUACAACUUGAUAUCAUUUAA